UACGUAGGGUGCAAGCGUUGUCCGGAAUUACUGGGCGUAAAGAGCUCGUAGGUGGUUUGUCGCGUUGUCCGUGAAAACUCACAACUCAAUUGUGGGCGUGCGGGCGAUACGGGCAGACUGGAGUACUGCAGGGGAGACUGGAAUUCCUGGUGUAGCGGUGGAAUGCGCAGAUAUCAGGAGGAACACCGAUGGCGAAGGCAGGUCUCUGGGCCGAUACUGACGCUGAGGAGCGAAAGCGUGGGGAGCGAACAGG
rnacentral:rRNA from 1 species